CCUACGGGAGGCAGCAGUGGGGAAUAUUGGACAAUGGGGGCAACCCUGAUCCAGCCAUGCCGCGUGUGUGAAGAAGGCCCUCGGGUUGUAAAGCACUUUCAGUGAGGAAGAACGCCUGGUGGUUAAUACCCAUCAGGAAAGACAUCACUCACAGAAGAAGCACCGGCUAACUCCGUGCCAGCAGCCGCGGUAAUACGGAGGGUGCGAGCGUUAAUCGGAAUUACUGGGCGUAAAGCGCGCGUAGGUGGCUUGAUAAGCCGGUUGUGAAAGCCCCGGGCUCAACCUGGGAACGGCAUCCGGAGCUGUCAAGCUAGAGUGCAGGAGAGGAAGGUAGAAUUCCCGGUGUAGCGGUGAAAUGCGUAGAGAUCGGGAGGAAUACCAGUGGCGAAGGCGGCCUUCUGGACUGACACUGACACUGAGGUGCGAAAGCGUGGGUAGCAAACAGGAUUAGAUACCCCAGUAGUC
rnacentral:rRNA from 1 species